UCUUCUUCAAACUAUUCCCUCCUCUCUACUGUCGUUUCUCUCCUUUUCUUCUUCGACGACAGAUUCAGACCAUGGCGACAACUUUUUUCCGGCGGCUCGCCAAGUCCGCACCGAUCGCAUUCUCGGGUGCCUCUCGAUCUCAAAGCGAGUCCGGUUUUAGCGCGUUCCGGUUCCCCGUCGGCGCGAUCGCUGCUCUCUCCGGCGGGUUGUCGUACUAUUACGUCUCCUCCGACAGCAAUCUGGUUUAUCUGGAUCAUGCUAAGGAAGAGUCAGGACCAAAAACUGCUCUAAAGCCUGAUACAUGGCUCGAAUUUAAGCUUCAAGACACUGCUAGAGUUAGCCACAACACCCAAUUGUUCAGGUUCUCAUUUGAUCCAUCGGCCAAGUUGGGCCUAGAGGUUGCUUCUUGUAUCCUAACAAGGGCUCCAAUAGGCUAUGAUUCUGAAGGGAAAACAAAAUUUGUCAUAAGACCUUACACUCCUAUAUCUGACCCAGAAGCUAAGGGAUAUUUUGAUUUACUGAUCAAGGUAUAUCCAGAAGGGAAAAUGAGUCAACAUUUUGCCAGCUUAAAACCAGGGGAUGCAGUUGAAGUUAAAGGACCCAUUGAAAAGUUCAAGUACUCGCCUAAUAUGAAGAGACAUAUUGGCAUGAUUGCUGGUGGAACUGGGAUUACUCCAAUGCUUCAGGUGAUUGAGGCCAUUCUGAAGAAUCCCGAGGACAAGACACAGAUAUCAUUGCUUUAUGGCAAUGUUUCUCCAGAUGACAUACUUCUCAAGCAGAAGCUUGAUGCUCUCCAGGCUAAGCACCCGAAUUUGAAGGUAUAUUAUACCGUCGAUAACCCGACUAAAAACUGGAAAGGAGGUGUAGGUUACAUUUCAAAAGAUAUGGCUCUGAAAGGUUUACCUCCUCCUGCCGACGAUACUUUUGUUCUUAUAUGCGGUCCGCCCGGGAUGAUGGAGCAUAUAUCUGGAGGUAAAGCUCCAGACUGGUCACAAGGAGAGGUAAAGGGUAUACUAAAGGAGCUCGGGUACACAGAGCAAAUGGUAUUCAAGUUCUGAUGAAGCCUUUGGAGAAACUUCAUUUCAAUAGUUUCUGCUCCUCAGAGUUUGGUGUGACAAAGGACUAAAGUUGCCCCCCAAACGAACAAGACAGAAGGUACGAGGAGAGUGCCAUUCCUUCAAACAAAUUGGAUUCCAUGAGAGAGAGAGAGGAGAGACGACAAUAUAUAAUGGCGGCGUUGCAGAGAUCAACGACGUCGUUUCGGAGGCAGGGCUCAUCGGGAUUGAUUUGGGACGACAGGAUCUUAGCCGCCGGAGAGACUCGCAACAACGACGACGACAGAUAUGGCGAUGAUCGUAGAGGUUCGACGACGGCGACUGCGGCGGAGACGUUGCAGCGCAGCCAAUCCGCAGUCGUGAAAUCUUACCGGACGGCGGAGAUACCGCCGGAGAUGGACCCACCCUCUCCGAAGGUCACCGGCUGCGGAUUCUGGUUUAUUUUCUCGUCGAGUCGAAAGAGAAGAAAAAGAAGAAGAUCAAAGAAAUGAAAAAGGUCCAGUGAACAAAGAGACGAACGACGACGAAAAAUAAAGGAUGCGCGCUUAGGGUUUCCCCUCAUCGGUUCCACUUGCACAGAUCCGAGUUUUUGGGAGAUUGAAGCUUGAAUGCCAUUGCCUUUUCA